GCGCAAGUAGCUCAGUGGUAGAGCAUUGCCUUGCCAAGGCAAGGGCCGAGGGUUCGAUCCCCUUCUUUCGCU
rnacentral:tRNA from 1 species